GGGUCAAUGAUGAGAACUUCAUGUUGUCCUGAAGGGAGGUGAUGACUUAAAAAGUCAUGCUCAAUAGGAUUACGCUGAGGCCC
rnacentral:snoRNA from 1 species